AUUGAACGCUGGCGGCAGGCCUAACACAUGCAAGUCGAACGGUAACAGGAAGAAGCUUGCUUCUUUGCUGACGAGUGGCGGACGGGUGAGUAAUGUCUGGGAAACUUCCUUAUGGAGGGGGAUAACUACUGGAAACGGUAGCUAAUACCGCAUAAUGUCGCAAGACCAAAGAGGGGGACCUUCGGGCCUCUUGCCAUCGUAUGUGCCCAGAUGGGAUUAGCUAGUAGGUGGGGUAACGGCUCACCUAGGCGACGAUCCCUAGCUGGUCUGAGAGGAUGACCAGCCACACUGGAACUGAGACACGGUCCAGACUCCUACGGGAGGCAGCAGUGGGGAAUAUUGCACAAUGGGCGCAAGCCUGAUGCAGCAAUGCCGCGUGUAUGAAGAAGGCCUUCGGGUUGUAAAGUACUUUCAGCGGGGAGGAAGGGAGUAAAGUUAAUACCUUUGCUCAUUGACGUUACCCGCAGAAGAAGCACCGGCUAACUACGUG
rnacentral:rRNA from 1 species